rnacentral:lncRNA from 10 species
GUUUUCACGAGGGGCUCCGGGGGGCCCUUCCUGACAGUUCACCCUUCCAAGGCUAAUCAGAAUUCUCUCUGUCUGCUUUGGUUUUCUGCACUUUGACUUGCAUCAUAAAUUAUUCCUUCUCUAAAUGGCAGGCGUAGGGUAAUGACCAUAAGGGAAAUAAACCACAGGACCCUUCUCUGCGGUGAGACUCUUCCAGAAAGAAAAAAAUGGAUUUUCCUGUCUCUUUGACCCCUGAGAUCUCAAAGCCCCUAUGAAGAUGGAUCAGUUGGCAUGGCUGGAUUCAGACUUCCCAGGCCAAGAGGACUUGAAGAAAUGAUGAAAUGAAUCCCAGAAACUCAGAGUUUGAAUAAUAGUUAUCGGUUAUUGCACACUCGCUGUGUGCCAGGCAUGGUGCCCGCUGCUGCCCAUGGAUCAUUUCACCUAAUUUCAUCUACCAACCUGAUAUCUGCACAUGUGAGAAACUGAGACGUAGGGAAUUGGCAUGGCUUUGGCUUUUGCAGAAGGAGUAACACAGGUUCAUACCAACUUCCUCCAGUUACCAAUUCUGUGACUUCAGGUAGGUAAAUUUCUAUCACCGAUCAUCCUCUCUUUAAAAUGGGACUAGUUGACCUCAAAGUGUUGUCACGGUGAUUAAACGGCUG